UUUUAGAGUUUGAUCAUGGCUCAGGAUGAACGCUGGCGGCAUGCCUAAUACAUGCAAGUCGAACGGGGUGCUUGCACCCAGUGGCGAACGGGUGAGUAACACGUAUCUAAUCUACCUUUUAGUGGGGGAUAACAGUUGGAAACGACUGCUAAUACCGCAUACGACAUCAUUAUCGCAUGAGAAGAUGUUGAAAGGCCUGUUUGGGUCGCUAGAAGAUGAGGAUGCGGCGUAUUAGCUAGUAGGUGGGGUAAAGGCCCACCUAGGCGAUGAUACGUAGCCGAACUGAGAGGUUGAUCGGCCACAUUGGGACUGAGAUACGGCCCAGACUCCUACGGGAGGCAGCAGUAGGGAAUUUUUCACAAUGGGCGAAAGCCUGAUGAAGCAAUGCCGCGUGAGUGAUGACGGUCUUCGGAUUGUAAAGCUCUGUUGUAAGGGAAGAACAGCUAGAAGAGGAAAUGCUUUUAGUUUGACGGUACCUUACCAGAAAGCCACGGCUAAAA
rnacentral:rRNA from 1 species